GGGGUUGUGGCUCAGUGGUAGAGCACUUGCCUAGCAUGUGUGAAAUACUGGGUUCGAUCCUCAGCACCA
rfam:Ictidomys tridecemlineatus contig054400, whole genome shotgun sequence.